rnacentral:rRNA from 1 species
GACGAACGCUAGCGGCGUGCCUAAUGUAUGCAAGUCGAACGGCCCGCAAGGGUAGUGGCGAACGGUUGAGUAACACGUAGACAACCUGCCUCCAGGUGGGGGAUAACAGCUCGAAAGGGCUGCUAAUACCGCAUAUGGCGCCCCGUGGCAUCACGGGAGGGCUAAAGGAGCAAUUCGCCUGGAGAUGGGUCUGCGGCCUAUCAGCUAGUUGGUGGGGUAACGGCCUACCAAGGCGACGACGGGUAGCUGGUCUGAGAGGAUGAUCAGCCAGACGGGGACUGAGACACGGCCCCGACUCCUUCGGGAGGCAGCAAUGAGGGAUAUUGCACAAUGGGGGAAACCCUGAUGCAGCGACGCCGCGUGGGUGAGGAAGUCCUC